UACCAGCACCCCGAGUGGUCGGGACGAUUAUUGGGCCUAAAGCAUCCGUAGCCGGCCUUACAAGUCCCCCGUUAAAUCCAACUGCUUAACAGAUGGGCUGCGGAGGAUACUAUAAGACUAGGAGGCAGGAGAGGCAAGCGGUACUCAGUGGGUAGGGGUAAAAUCCGUUGAUAUCAUGGGGAACACCGAAAGCGAAGGCAGCACACUGGCGCACUCCUGACACUGAAACACGAAAGCGUGGGUAGCGAAUGGG
rnacentral:rRNA from 1 species